rnacentral:rRNA from 1 species
GCGGCGUGCCUAUACAUGCCGUCGAGCGGACAGAUGGGAGCUUGCUCCCUGAUGUUAGCGGCGGACGGGUGAGUAACACGUGGGUAACCUGCCUGUAAGACUGGGAUAACUCCGGGAAACCGGGGCUAAUACCGGAUGGUUGUUUGAAACCGCAUGGUUCARACAUAAAAAGGKGGCUUCGGCUUACCACUUACAGAUGGACCCGCGGCGCAUUAACYUAAUUGGGGGAAGGUAACSGGUUCMCCAAGGGC